CCUACGGGUGGCAGCAGUGGGGAAUAUUGGACAAUGGGGGGAACCCUGAUCCAGCCAUGCCGCGUGUGUGAAGAAGGCCCUCGGGUUGUAAAGCACUUUCAGUGAGGAAGAACGCCUGGUGGUUAAUACCCAUCAGGAAAGACAUCACUCACAGAAGAAGCACCGGCUAACUCCGAGCCAGCAGCCGCGGUAAUACGGAGGGUGCGAGCGUUAAUCGGAAUUACUGGGCGUAAAGCGCGCGUAGGUGGCUUGAUAAGCCGGUUGUGAAAGCCCCGGGCUCAACCUGGGAACGGCAUCCGGAACUGUCAAGCUAGAGUGCAGGAGAGGAAGGUAGAAUUCCCGGUGUAGCGGUGAAAUGCGUAGAGAUCGGGAGGAAUACCAGUGGCGAAGGCGGCCUUCUGGACUGACACUGACACUGAGGUGCGAAAGCGUGGGUAGCAAACAGGAUUAGAUACCCGAGUAGUC
rnacentral:rRNA from 1 species